UAUUUUGAGUUUUCUCAACCAAACAACUCAUUUUCUUCUUAUAUUUUGUCAGAUCUAACUAUUUGUUUCGUUUUUGUACAGAACUAAUAUGGUUCACUGAGACAUAUGGUUUUAUUACGCAGAUUUCGUUUUCAUUUUGACCUUUCUCAAGCGAACAACUCAUAUUCUUCUUUUAUUUUCUCAGAUCUAACUAUUUUUUUCCGAUGAUGGUAUUUUCUAGGAUUGCUACAUGUCUAAUAUGGUUCACUGCGACAGAUUUAACAUCAGGCUUCAAAUCAAGAUUUCAAACUGAUUCAAGAGUCUUUUUCGCUGUACAACUUAACUGGCUUCAAAUCAAGAUUUCAAAGUCAUGCACGAGUCUUUUUCGCUAUACAACUUAACUGGUAAGUAAUUUGUAUCAAAAUACCUUUUUCUUUACCAAUUUAUCUGUAUUUUUCCACCUUUUACAAGCAAACCCUUCAUCUUCUUCAUUUUUC